UAUGUAUGUACGUACGUACGUACAAAAAUAUUCUAAUCUCUUACAAAAACAUCAGUUACCAGCCAAGACAUUCACCUCAGUAUCUUCGUCGUGUAGCAAAACCCAUUACAGUAGUUGUACAAAACAUCACUGCGGCAAAAACUGCAGCCAUUAUGUGCGUAUGUGCGGGCAUUUAUGCGGAAAGAAAUCAGCGUAGUAUUUAUGCAUACUCUAAUUACAGUUUUUUUCGGUAUUUUUACUAAAUAGCAUUUCAACACUUUUGGUUAAUUUUAUCUAAUAUCUCUUUAAUUCAACCUUAGGUGUUUGUUUAUUAUUAUUUUUAUUACCAUUAAGUAAAGAGAGAUAGAUGAUAUACACUCGAAAGAAUCAUGAACGUCAAAUAUAUUUCAUUUCUCUUAUCAAUCUAAGAUAUUGUAUCUAUUUUGGUAAUCGAUAUGUAGUCGUUGCAUUACAUUAUUCAUCCUACUGUCUUUUCUGCAGUUUUAUUGAACACUGCUGUUUCAGCACAGAUGUUUGAGCUAUUCAACUAAAAUAAGCAGCAGUGAAAAGAAAAUGGAAUCGAUAAUGAAAAACAAGAAUGAUCGCUAAACGGAGUAAACCUCUUUGUUAGCUCCGCCUACUUCUCAUGACGUCAUCGAUUAAGGGGCUUUUGUCAGAUUAUUAAACUCCGAAGACGCACUGCAAGUAAUUCCUGCAAUUAUCUGCUUUGAAUUGUCUAUCUGAUUGCCUGUUUUUAUUUUUAGUCUAUCUUCUCCUUUACGAAGAAAGCGAUACGUUUCUUCUCCGUUCAUUUUGACUUACUAUAAGUCGGUUAUCAUAAGAAAAAAAUGGACCUUAAGAAAAAUUUUGAUUGUUUCAUUUUCGAAGCAAACAUGGAGCUAAACAACCAAACACCUAAGCAUAAAAGUUAUCCUUGUGAACAUGAAAUGCAACUAAAGGGAGAGACAACUUCUACCUCAGACAAUUUAUUUCAUGAAGAUGUAAACUCAGUGAAGCAUAUCUGUAAAGAAAACAAUGUAAUUGAAGAUGUUGAUAAUACUCCUAUCACUGGGGUAUGUUUGGAGUCUGACUCAAAUGGCUUUGCCCCACAAGAUGGAAUUAUUAUAGAUUUAAAGGAUAAAACUAAUAGUCCACAAGUGGAACCUGGUGGCGUAGAUAUACUCACUAUUGAAAACUUUGAAAGUAUGCUAACUGCAGAGAACACUAAGGCAAUGGACAUAUAUUAUGAAGAAGAAAACCUGAAUUAUUGUGUUGAUAGUGAUGUUCCUCUGCUCAGUUCAUCUGUUGAAAGUGAUACAUCUGUAGAAAUCUUAAAUCCUUUAGUUAUUGGUAAUGUCUAUUCUGAGAGAAAUCAAUCAGACAGUGAUGUUUCACUUUUAAGUAUGUCUGGGGAUGAAGUUAGUAAUGGUGAACCUGAAGAAUAUAAUAAUUAUGAGCUUGCACAAACCACUGCUUCAGAUCAUUAUAACAUCUUACCAAAUGUUGCAGAAAAUAAAAGUGACAAAUGCAUCACCCCCUUGAAUUUAAACAAUCCAUCCACAGAUACAUUUCUCUCUUAUGAAAAUAAACUCAACGAUUCUAAAGAAUUAUUUAUAAUACCUGAAGCAAAACAACUGCAAGAAGCAUUUAUCGAUCAAACAGAAUCAAUUAAUUCUAGGGCCAAAUGUUAUACAAAAUUUAUUGAUAAUCCUGAAUUAGCAUCAAGUCAAUCAGCUAAUGAAAUAAAAAACUUUACAGAGAAAACGUUUUUACAUCAAAAUGGUAACACACCUGCUCAUGAGAUUAUAAAUCAAUGUGACCAGAAGAUGGCAGAACUAAAUAUGAUGAAUAAUUCCUUGUUAACACAUUCCACAAGUAAUAACAUCAAUGAUACUGCAACAACUUUGCACUUUUAUGAUAAGGAUUCCUCUCUGGUUGAAUGUAGUCAAGAUUGUUCAUUAAUGAAAAACUUUGACCCCCAUUCUCCAUCAGUUAUGGACAGUAACACCACUGAAAUCUCUGCAGAAUUCUCACAGACAUGUUUGGAAGGGUCUCUCAUCAGUAAAGCCUCUCAACUGAAUGGUAAUGAGCAGCAACAAUAUGGAGAGAACAUUCAGGAAGUGGUUGCUUUGGAAAAGCAAAAUAGUUGUGAUAGCACUUUGCCACUUAUUGAAUCUGAAAUAAUUUCAAUUGAUCCUCUUUAUUCUAAAGAUUUCAACAACAGUAACAUAAUAGAGAUUGAACCUUCUUUCAGCAAAGAAAAAAACAUUCCUUUGCUUCAUUUUCUUGGAAGCUCAAACUUAAUUUCCACUUCUCACUGUUCAAGCCAAGAGCAUGUGAACUUGUCCGAUGCAUGCAUUCAUAUGCUAAAUAACUUAAACAACAGUUAUUCUAAUAUAUCAUUAAUGCAUAUAUCUUCUUUGAAGAAUAUUCAAGAAACUUAUCAGGACAAUAUGUCUGUCAUAUCUUCUGAAACAGUAAAAACUACAAAUCAUUGGAAGAAUUUAAUUGCAUACAGUAUUGGAUUCAUGGUCAUGUACAUGGCAUUUGGAUCAUUACGUCAUUUGCAGAGCAGUAUUAACAACAGUAAUGGUGUUGGACUUAUCACAUUGUCUUGUCUUUUUGCGUUUUUUGUUAUAGGAUCUUUAUUUGCAUCUUAUGUUGUUAAACAACUUGAACCUCGCCGAGCCACCCUUGUAACUGUUCUAUUUCAUAUCCUAUAUGUAAUUAGCAAUUGUUACCCCAGUAUCUAUAUUCUUAUGCCAGCAUCAGCAAUGCUUGGAUUUUGGAAUGCUGUAUCUUGGGGUGCUCAAGGAGUAUAUAUUCAACGGCUUGCCUGUGAUUAUGCCAUUAAGAAAGGACAAAAGACUGAACAUAUUUGUAGUAAAUUUCAUGGUGUAUUUUAUUUGAUAUUGUUUUUCUCAGAAGUGUUUGGGAAUUUAAUUUCAUCUUUAAUACUAAGCAGCAGUGAAACUGGUUCUUCACUUAAUGAACAGAAUCAGACAGAUUUCUAUUAUAAAAAUUCUACUCUAGAAGCAAUUACCAAUAUCACUCAUAAGAAUCAGCAAUGUGGUAUAAACUACAACCAUUUAAAACAUGAGGAUGAGAAAAGUAUGCCAAUAUCACAAAAUAUUAUUUUUUUGUUGACUGCUAUCUUUACUGGUUUAGAUAUAUUAGCCUUUGCUAUUAUUUUCUUUUUUGUGGAUCCACUCACUUCUACUUACAGAAAUAGUUUACCUCAGACAACCAGAAACUGUGAAAAGUUGUGGAGAGACAUAAAAUCUGUUCUAAUUUUCAUGAAAGACUGGCGUUUUGUAUUAUUAAUUCCAAUAUAUUUAUUUAGUGCCAUGCAUUUGGCUUAUAUCAGUGCAGAAAUAACGAAGGCAUUUGCAACAUGCAUGCUUGGUGUUCAUAUGGUCGGGUACUUGAUGAUUUGUUAUGGAAUAUCAGAUGCUCUCAGUUCCUAUAUAUCUGGUUGGCUGAAUCAAAUCACUGGUAGAAUUUUACUAAUAACCAUAGUAUAAUAAAAGAAUUGAAAGAAGUCUGUAGAACAGAAACAGCAGAAAAGAUGUAAUUCUGGUGAUGAGGUUUGUGCCAGAGAGACCAUUUGUCUGAGUCAAGUAAAAGUGCCAGUGUCCAAAUAGGGAGGUCAGUUCAUGGGCUGAUAGCAAUAAGAAACAAGUGGGCAGAUCAUCAAGGCUGUAGACUACUGGAACAAAGUUCAUCUGUAUAAUGAAUUUCAGGAAGAUCCUCCUUUCUGUAGCAUUUUCAUCAAAUGAGCAAUCUGAUUUUAAAAUGUUCUGAAUCUAACGGAUCAUUGUCUUUUCAACUGGUCAUUCUCAGCUUGUUCUUAUGGCAACCAGUGAACAGUUCUCUUUUACCGUAUAUCCUCAUUUUUGGA
rnacentral:misc_RNA from 1 species